rnacentral:rRNA from 1 species
ACGCUGGCGGCACGCCUAACACAUGCAAGUCGAACGAAGUAGCAAUACUUAGUGGCAGACGGGUGAGUAACAUGUGGGUAUCUACCCUUUGGCCUGGAAUAACACGAGGAAACUUGUGCUAAUACUGGAUAAGUCUUUACGGAGAAAGCUUUAUGCACCAUUGGAUGAGCCCGCACUUGAUUAGUUUGUUGGUGGGGUAAUGGCCUACCAAGACUUUGAUCAAUAGCUGAUUUGAGAGGAUGAUCAGCCACAUUGGGACUGAGACACGGCCCAAACUCCUACGGGAGGCAGCAGUGGGGAAUCUUGCACAAUGGAGGAAACUCUGAUGCAGCGAUGCCGCGUGAGUGAAGAAGGCCUUUGGGUUGUAAAGCUCUUUCGUCGGGGAAGAAAAUGACUGUACCCGAAUAAGAAGGUCCGGCUAACUUCGUGCCAGCAGCCGCGGUAAUACGAAGGGACCUAGCGUAGUUCGGAAUUACUGGGCUUAAAGAGUUCGUAGGUGGUUGAAAAAGUUGGUGGUGAAAUCCCAGAGCUUAACUCUGGAACUGCCAUCAAAACUUUUCAGCUAGAGUUUGAUAGAGGAAAGCAGAAUUUCUAGUGUAGAGGUGAAAUUCGUAGAUAUUAGAAAGAAUACCAAUUGCGAAGGCAGCUUUCUGGAUCAAUACUGACGCUGAGGAACGAAAGCAUGGGUAGCGAAGAGGAUUAGAUACCCUCGUAGUCCAUGCUGUAAACGAUGUGUGUUAGACGUUGGAAAUUUAUUUUCAGUGUCGCAGCGAAAGCGAUAAACACACCGCCUGGGGAGUACGACCGCA